GUGCUUGGGUCAUGUCAGCAGCACAUAUACUAACGUUGGAACCAUACGGAGAAGAUUAUCCUGGUCCCUUUGCAAGGAUGACACGCAAGUUGAUGAAUCAUUCCAUAUUUUG